rnacentral:rRNA from 1 species
GGCUAAAUACUCCUGACUGACCGAUAGUGAACCAGUACCGUGAGGGAAAGGCGAAAAGAACCCCGGCGAGGGGAGUGAAAAAGAACCUGAAACCGUGUACGUACAAGCAGUGGGAGCCUCUUUAUGGGGUGACUGCGUACCUUUUGUAUAAUGGGUCAGCGACUUAUAUUCUGUAGCAAGGUUAACCGAAUAGGGGAGCCGAAGGGAAACCGAGUCUUAACUGGGCGUUAAGUUGCAGGGUAUAGACCCGAAACCCGGUGAUCUAGCCAUGGGCAGGUUGAAGGUUGGGUAACACUAACUGGAGGACCGAACCGACUAAUGUUGAAAAAUUAGCGGAUGACUUGUGGCUGGGGGUGAAAGGCCAAUCAAACCGGGAGAUAGCUGGUUCUCCCCGAAAGCUAUUUAGGUAGCGCCUCGUGAAUUCAUCUCCGGGGGUAGAGCACUGUUUCGGCAAGGGGGUCAUCCCGACUUACCAACCCGAUGCAAACUGCGAAUACCGGAGAAUGUUAUCACGGGAGACACACGGCGGGUGCUAACGUCCGUCGUGAAGAGGGAAACAACCCAGACCGCCAGCUAAGGUCCCAAAGUCAUGGUUAAGUGGGAAACGAUGUGGGAAGGCCCAGACAGCCAGGAUGUUGGCUUAGAAGCAGCCAUCAUUUAAAGAAAGCGUAAUAGCUCACUGGUCGAGUCGGCCUGCGCGGAAGAUGUAACGGGGCUAAACCAUGCACCGAAGCUGCGGCAGCGACGCUUAUGCGUUGUUGGGUAGGGGAGCGUUCUGUAAGCCUGCGAAGGUGUACUGUGAGGUAUGCUGGAGGUAUCAGAAGUGCGAAUGCUGACAUAAGUAACGAUAAAGCGGGUGAAAAGCCCGCUCGCCGGAAGACCAAGGGUUCCUGUCCAACGUUAAUCGGGGCAGGGUGAGUCGACCCCUAAGGCGAGGCCGAAAGGAUUAGUCGAUUGGAAACAGGUUAAUAUUCCUGUACUUGGUGUUACUGCGAAGGGGGGACGGAGAAGGCUAUGUUGGCCGGGCGACGGUUGUCCCGGUUUAAGCGUGUAGGCUGGUUUUCCAGGCAAAUCCGGAAAAUCAAGGCUGAGGCGUGAUGACGAGGCACUACGGUGCUGAAGCAACAAAUGCCCUGCUUCCAGGAAAAGCCUCUAAGCAUCAGGUAACAUCAAAUCGUACCCCAAACCGACACAGGUGGUCAGGUAGAGAAUACCAAGGCGCUUGAGAGAACUCGGGUGAAGGAACUAGGCAAAAUGGUGCCGUAACUUCGGGAGAAGGCACGCUGAUACGUAGGUGAAGUCCCUUGCGGAUGGAGCUGAAAUCAGUCGAAGAUACCAGCUGGCUGCAACUGUUUAUUAAAAACACAGCACUGUGCAAACACGAAAGUGGACGUAUACGGUGUGACGCCUGCCCGGUGCCGGAAGGUUAAUUGAUGGGGUUAGCGGUAACGCGAAGCUCUUGAUCGAAGCCCCGGUAAACGGCGGCCGUAACUAUAACGGUCCUAAGGUAGCGAAAUUCCUUGUCGGGUAAGUUCCGACCUGCACGAAUGGCGUAAUGAUGGCCAGGCUGUCUCCACCCGAGACUCAGUGAAAUUGAACUCGCUGUGAAGAUGCAGUGUACCCGCGGCAAGACGGAAAGACCCCGUGAACCUUUACUAUAGCUUGACACUGAACAUUGAGCCUUGAUGUGUAGGAUAGGUGGGAGGCUUUGAAGUGU